rnacentral:lncRNA from 1 species
AUAGAGUACCAGUACCACAUCUCUCUCUCUCUCCCCCUCUAUAAAAAUGCGUCACAUUUACGAGAACAAGAGAAUCAUCCCAAAUUAAAUCACCAGUCAUCAGGUUGUUUUACUGAUCCGAAAUUACUAAUGAAUGGAACUUAAAAUCCCUGAACUACCUGAGUUUACUAAGCUUAUGCAAAGCUAAGAAAAUAGUAUAAUUUUCACCAAAAAAAACAGGAUAGAGAAACAGCAACGAAAACCCUAGAAGACAUGGAACCACACACAUUACCUGUUAAAUGAAAAAUAAAACAAGAACAAAAAUGAGAAGAACGUGUGUAGAAAAACUUAUAGCGUUAGGCUUGGGAAGAACCGCCGAUGAUAAUUAUAAAAAACACACAUUAUAUAAGAUCAGAGAAAUGGAGAAACCCAAGAGAAAAACUCACCGGCCAACAAAAAGCAGAUCCCACUCAUUGUCUCUGAUAUUAACUCUCUCCUCUUUCCUUCCGACGCCAUAGCCAAUCCAUGGUUCACACACUCCAUUGUUGGAUUGAAGGAGGAUGUUUUUAGGUGAGAUGAGAGAGAGAGAGUGAGAGACCCACUUUGACCAAAGGUAACAACAGAAUCGUUUAUUCAAGAAAAUUGUCCAAUUUAUCUUCAUGGGCCUUGGGUAAUUGGGUCUCAUAGCUUGUGGAUGGAUGGUUGACACGAGUAGCAAGUAGGGCUGUAAAAAAAAAAAACGCAAAGUGCGAAACCGAACUGAUUCGUCAAUUUUUUAUUGGAUUCGUGAAUUAAUGAUCCAGACACAGAUUAAAAAAUUAAAAAAUCGUAAUUCGCAAUUUGAUCUAAAAUUUUUAAUAAACGAACCGUGAAUUAACUGAACCAGACCGUGAAAUUUAAAUAUAUAUAUAUAUAUAUAUAUAUAUACUGUUCAAAUUAGAUCUAAAGGGAUCAAAUUAAAACGUUUCCUAAACUAUUGAGACAAACGGUGAAAUUUACGCAUCCAUAAUUACCACGAGUCCGUAUUCUAAUCAAAAUGCAUUAUUUACUCAUUUAUAAUUUCCAACUUCACUGUUCAAACAUAUAUGCGAGUUAAAAUGCACUUUUUUUUCGUUUUUACAUUUGACAACUUGUCCGCAAAUAUAAUGAUCAUAGCCUGGGGUGCGGGUCAUCAGUGUAGGCGUAAUGUGGUAUGCUUGUUUCUGAGAAAAUUAGCAGAGAUAUACAAUUGUGUUUGUAAUUUCGUUAUUGAGGUAUACAAAUUUAUGGAAUGUAACUAUCCGUGAAUUAACUGUGAUUCGAACCAUGAAUUUUUGAAUUUUUUCAAAAUCAAACUGUAAAUUUUUGUCUGGACACGAAUUAUAUUUUCUUGAAUCGUAGAUUUUUGAGUUGGUUUUUAAAUUCAUACCAAUCCGAACCGUUGACACACCUAGACACGAGUGUCGUGAUGAAACCGUUGAAUUACAUGGGCUCCAGUUGGGCCAAUUUUGGGAUGGACUUUUGCGAAGAACUCAGCACACGCCCGUCUUCCUAAUGGAGCCCACAAUUGUGGACAUUCAAAAUCUAGGAAGGCCCACAUCUCCCGGCCCAAUAUGUAAAGCAAUCUAUCAAACUACCAUGCCCUCCGUCAACCCACCGUGAUAGACGGCGCUGGUGGCUUGUGUGGUCGCCGCCGUGUCUCCGACAUCUCUCCUCUGUCUCUCUUCCUUUUUUUUUUUUUUUUUCCAACCGAAUCAAAUCACCCUGUCCCUUGUCACCCUAAAUCGACCCGUUUUAGGCUCUGAUGGAGAGGCAAAUGGACAAAUCUUUAUGCUCGACAGAUUAAGUAAUUUUGCAGCUAAAGUCCAGUUAAGCUCCCCUAUUUCGUAUAAUGUGGGACACAGAUUUUGUAUUUGGUGUUAUUGGAUCAGAAUUGUUGCCGUUCCUCACUAAGAUGGGAUCAUUUUGGAAACUCAACUUGAAUGUUUUGAUCAGGUGUAUGAAAGGACUGGAGCUGUAAACAAAUAAUGGAAAUGGAAAUGGAAAACAAUAAGGUUGAAAAAGAAGCCCAUAUCCAUGCUUCUGAAGUUCGUGUGCUUUCAAAUUUCAAGAUGUUAUGGCUUUGUAAGUGGGAAAAUUCUACCACCCACAACCUUUAAUUUAAGAAAAUUCCCCUUUCUUAGGAACAAGAAUUUUUUUAAUAUCCAAGAUAGAAGUGCCCCAAUUAACUAUUUCAUGAUUUGUUCGUUGUGUGAUGAAAACUGCUUUGCAAAGAUUUGUACGAGAGCUUGCAUAUAGCAGUGAGCAACACACUAACUGUGACACACUUUUUGAGCAUUUGCCCUGGUCUCACCCCUGAAGCUGGACCUGCUUGCCUUUGGAUGCGAUUAGGUGUGUCCUUGUCAUCUAAUCGCACACCGAGUCUCUUUUCCUUAUGACGAUUUGUGCUAACAUUGGCUUUAGUGGAGUCAUUUUUGUGGUGGGUUUCAAUGAGAAGCUUCAUGAAUGAUCUCCACGACAAUGUAAGUAUGGUUCGAUGAAGCUUCACUGUUUUUCUCUCCCCAAAAAAAUUGUGUUUCAUGAUGGUUCUUACGAUACUGAUGUUGUUUAUGAGCUUAUUUCGAUUUGUAUGUGUUCCUUCUCAAAGCACAAUUGAUGCUGCUCUUCUAUGUCGACUGUGUUCUGCCCAUUGUGUUGUAGUUGUUUUAGGCACAUACUGAUUUUGGAACAUUUGUUGGCCUGUGCCAAAGAAGGCAAGUUAUACUACUUCACUACAGAAUGGCACUCACAUCAUGUUUUGUUUUGUCCGCCUGUAUAUAUGUUUUAUACUUACCAGGGGAAAUGAAUUUAAUUCCUUCUCUCCAUUGCUGGUCUCAUAGCACCAGUGUCCAUGGUCACAUUCUUAUAACCUGAGAGUAUUCAUGGUUCUGUACCAUUAAUGUGUUUUUGAUGCAAUCUUAAGUAUUUACGUUCGGAUUGGAAUAGAAGUUUCCUUUGUUGACAUCAGAGUGAUUUCAUGCACCCAAUAAACUACAACAGGGAAAUGGCCCCUACUAUGUGAUAAUAGGUACCUUUAUCAUGUGUCACGGUAACGUGGCUUCUCUAACCGUCCUUCUAUUAGGGAAUUAUUCUCCUAAUUUCUAUUUAUCUUAAAUUACUGAUAGGGACUUUGUGAUUCUUUACAGAAUGUGCACGUGCCCUGCUUGUAACUUUUGUGUCUCCUUCAGAUCCUAUUCAAGAUCUUUGUUUUAUCGUACAUGUAGCUUGUUAUUCGUUUUUCACGUUCAAUAUUUCUUCCUCGUUUUCAUUAUGAAUUUGGCUCUUAAUUUGAUGUUUGACAGCAGAUGGGUUUUACUCUAUAUUAUUGCUCUCAUAUGGCUUUUCAUCGUGUGAUUUUAUUCAUCAAGAACUUCCUUGGAACUUUAUCAUUUCACGAAUUUAGAAAUUACCCACUGCCAUUCAACCUAUUGGAUUUUAACGGUAAGUGAUGCCGAUUUAAACUUUUAGUGACUCCCCCACGUUUCCUCAAACUCGCUAAGAUAAAUUGAUACUUAAACAUGCAAAAUAAAAUGUAGCAUGCAAAUAUAAACUUUUAGUUGUCAGCUGCAGUCCUCUUCGUAUGUGGAUGGAGCCAUGUUUCUCUUGGUGAAAACUAGACCACACAGUUUGGUUCCGGUACUUCCUAAUUCAAGACCUUUUCUCUGGUUAUUUUCACCUUCUAUUUGUGCUGUUUCUAUGUUAUUAACAAUUGGCAUGUUCAUCUUACAGAUGUCUCCAAUAAUUUUGACUUAAAAGUAGCGGGUGCACGGUGGGACUAGGUUGAUCCGGUAGUAUAGGACAUGAAUUGGUCUGUUGUCUUAUAAGCAUUAUAACUCUUAUUGCGUAUAGCAAGAUUUUCCUCUUACUGGACAAACUUACGAGAUCCUAUGUUUUCUUGCGCUUUAUGUUUUGUUUUGAUUGUUACCAUCCUUGUUAUUUUCAUAAGAAUCAGUUAUCGAGUCCUGCUCUUAGUAGGCGAGGGUUUCUCCGGCAGAGAGAGAGGCAUCACUAAAGAAGGGCAUAAAUGUAUUUUCCUAGCUAUCCUUGACAAUCCAGCAUGGUAAAAAAAAAAAAAGAAUGGCGAGGGCAAAAUAGGUAAAUGAAAUUAGGAUAAAAAAAAUGAUUGAAAACGGGGAUUUGGGCUUAGGAAUAAUAUAAAUUUAAUGUACUCAAAUUCAAAUUAAUUGAAUUUUUUAAUUGGACGGAUUAAACGUUAGAUUGAAUCAUAAAUUCAAUGGAACUUCAUAUUCGACAUGUGUUUUUUCAGUAGGGGAUGGCAAUGAGCGUGUUGGGAUGAUUUUGGCCUAAACUAUGGCUAUUCCGUUUAGGAAAACCCUCCCCACCCCUCCCUGCUUAGCCUAGCUCAAUAUUUGUCUUUAUCAUCUUUUUUGAUUUUAAAAGUAUUGUUGUAUAAUAAAAUAUAUAUAAUUAUAAUGAAAACAUACAUAUAAUUACCCAUUUAAACACAUAAAAAUAUUUUUCUUAACAUCCUAAAAAAGUAAAUUUAAUAAUGGAAAAAAAAUUAAAUUUUUAUGUAUGUGACCUAAAUUAAACAAAAGUAUUUUAUAAUUAACUUUAAUUGGGUUGGAUUAGAGGUCCCAAACUACUAAACUCAACCACACCCCAAAACCAAGUGGAUAUCCCAUACCCCACCCAAAAUCCGUCAUAGAUAUUCCCAUCUCCUUCUAUUAGGGGCGAGUUUGGAGCGGAUUACCCAAAUGUCCCACCCUAUUGCCAUCCUUAUUUGUCACAAACAAUUCUUUCUUUAUUUCUUAGGCCCAAUUUGAAAUAAUAGUUUUUUUGAAUUUUUUAGUUGCCUUCGUUUUCAAGUCUUUUCGUCUUUAUUGAAUUAUUUUUACCGUAAAAUUUUAUACCUUUUCAGUUCCCUUUGACGAGGGAGUCUGAAAAUAUUUUUUUUUAUCUAAUUUAAAAAAAAACUCUACUAAAGACGAAAAGAAACUACUUUAAUUUUUUUGGAUAAAUUUUUUUUCUUUGGUAUUUUUUUAAAAUUAAAUAAUUUUUUAAUACUUUUGUACUGCUCUUCUCCAAAAGAAUAAAAAAAUUAUAAAAUUUUGAACAAAGAAAAAAAAUCACUAAAAAAAACUCGGUAAAGAAAGUAGUCCAUAAAACCAAAAAAAACUUAUGCCAUUGGCCUUAAUUGAUGAUAAGUAUACCAUAGAUAUGACCUGGCACGAGCAUUGUGGCCAGUCCGUGCUGCAAAGGUCAAUGCCACACCGAGUGAACCAACUCUCUCAAUUGGAUUAUCAAAUACGUUGCUGGUGGGAGCAAUAUUUGACCUGGAAAUAGCCCUUUUCUAGUUUGAAGUGGAAUUCAAAAACACCCUCUAACAGACGGCAAUGACCCCAGCCGUGUUAUUGGCGGUUUUAGCUGUUCUUUCUCCAGAAAGAUCACCUCUCUGUCUCUCUCUAAAAUUAUAUAUAUCUACACAAUCCCCAAAACCCACUCCACUCUGACCCUCCACUUCACAAUUCAUGUGAUUUAUCUCCCAAAUUCCCAAAACCAUUUAUCAUAAGCCAUUUUCCAUCAUCUUUCAUCGACUCUUCUCGGAUAGGAUCAAACUUCUUCCCCUUCUCCCUCUUUCCUCUUCCCCCGCUCCCUUUCUCUACUUUUUGUUUCUCUUCCCCUAUUUUUUUUCCGCCCUGCUCAACACAAAUCAAGACAAGCAAUUUCAGUUUCUUUCUUGGGUUAAAUUUUUCUCGAGACUGGUAGUGGAGACAGAAUUUUCCUGAAUUUUCAUUUGCGUGUUCCUCAUCUCCACCCCCACCGCGGUGGGAAGAGAGAGGAGAGGAGAGAAAUUCCGAGGGUUUGCGUGGCGGUGGUGGUCUGGAAAGGGGAGGAGCAACAGAGGGUGGUGGUUCCGGUGAUCUACAUCAACCACCCACUCUUCAUGAUAUUGUUGAAGGAAGCAGAGGAAGAAUAUGGGUUUGACCAAAAAGGUCCUAUCAAUAUUCCUUGCCAUGUGGACGAGUUUCGAUAUGUCAAGGGCAUAAUUGACAAACAAGAGUCCCUGCAUCAUCAUCGCCACCACCAGCUUUUGUGCUUCAGGGUUUGAAAGAUUUGUUGUGGGUGUUUGAACGCCGAAGUCGUGUAAAGUACUUGGAUUGUUGUAGACGACGACAAGAAGUUGAAUGAUAAAUGGUUGCACCGUUUUUAAGUGGAUUUGUCCGGUUUGUGAAAGGAAAACAAAUUGUAUCUGUACACACGGUUUUUUGUUCUAGCUAUGUUAUUAGGGUGUGGUUGGGAAGCUAGAGUCUAUUUUUUAACCGAUAUAUAUUAAAUUUGGGUGGUAAACCCGAGAGAAAUAUGAUCACGAAAGAUUCAGGCGGAUUUGACUCUUGAGGGAGUCACUCAAGACUCAACUACUUUUAUACUUAAAAGAUGAUUGAAGUAUUUAACUUAAAAUCAAUUGACAAUAAGUGAGCUAACCUUUUAAGAAAAUAUAUCAAGUUUAGGUGAUUAAGAUGAGCAAUGUGCGACAACUCUGGUACUUCUCCACGUGCAAACUUGAUAUAUCUUCUCUAAAGACUAUUCUACAUAUUGUCAAUUCAUUUUAGGUUAGAAGCAUCGAUCCUCUCUAACAUAGUAUCAAAUCUAGAUAUUGGAUGAAUCGCUCAUCUCACCUCACCGCACCGCUCUAUCGUGGGAAAGUCUUUCCUUGAGUUCAUAUCUCUACUCACCCUCUCCUCAUCACUUCCACAUGCAUAGGAGUAUUAGAUUUGAUUCACAUCACACACCUCGACGACCCACGUUUCAAUCACAUAAAGCUUAUUCAAUUUGACUUAUUUGUGAUGCUAAAUCUGAAUCUGAAAAUGCAAAAUACAAAAAGAAACAUGCUAGAUGGGAGAGAAGUGGAAGGGAGAUUAGCGAGGAAUAAAAGAGCAUAGCAAUAAAUAUAUAUAAGAUAUGGGACAAACAUUCUUCUGACAAUAUUUUUAUCCUUUCUUCUGAAAUGUUUUUAUGUAAUACCAAUGAAAACAUUAAUAAAAUUGUCUUUUUUUGCUGAUCAAGAAAAAUAUUAACAUGUCAUUCCAGCCUUUUUUUUUUCUCAUCAGCAAAAGAAAGAAAAUUUUAGUAAUUGCCAAAAAUAGUAUGAGUAAGAGUAAACAAUAAAGUACUGCAAACGCGUUAUUAUUUUUAUUAGAUAUUUGAGAACAUGUACGUAAUAAGAAGUAGGUUUACAAUGCUUGACAUGAUUAGUUGGUUCCUUAAAUGAUUCAUUACUAGAGUAAACCAGUACAUAAGGCAGAUGUGAUUCUAAUCACAUCACACACCACAAGACCCUUCAAAAGAAAAAAUAUAUAUAUGUUAGAAACCAACUUAAACCAAAAUAAAUAUAAAACACAUACAAACAAAAAAAAAACAAACCCCAAUACCAAUUGGUGAUUUGCAUACUGCUGCCCUUUUUCUUCAAAUUACAACUUACCAAACUCCUCAACCACCAAAUCAUUGUCCCUUUUUCUACAUACGCUUCAACCAACUCCUAUACCAACACAUCUAUAUCCUCUCUUCUUUCAUGGACAAGGUCUCACUCAGUCUCUUGCUUUCUUCCUCACAAGUACCCUCCCCAUCAAAAAACUUUGUUAACUUUUUUUACCAUUCUUAAUCACUUGUCCCACUGCCCCUAUCAAGCUUCCCAUUAUUUCCCUCACAACCUCCACACCAAACACCUAUCUCCUCCACCAGACUAGAAUUUUAUGGCUGUCAUAAUUGCAUAGGUAAUAUAAAUUUGGCUAUGAUCGGAGUCCAUACUUCAUAAGCCCCAUCGUGAGCCCCACACCGCAAAUGCUCACAAAACCACCAACGCUGGCGAUGUCGGCAAGAUUUUUCACUUGGGCGGCCCAACCCUUCCACCACCAACCCCCCUCUCUCCUACCCUCUCAAGAAACCCCUUAGAGGGGAGUGCCUCUCAAACAACAUAGUGUUGAUCCCAUUGGAAACCUCAAAAUCCAUAUGAAAUUAACCCGCACUAAGCUCUAAACAAGCGCUAUCUCCUCCAUUUGAGGUCGCCGACAGAAAAUAGCUCGGUCCAAAAAGAACAAAUACCGUGGAACCUUUUCCUUCCUCUUAAGCCAGUCGAUGAUCCCACCAGUAUCCAUCUUCGUGGUGGCAAUCUUGGACAAGCGGAAGGGGUAAUAUCUUCUUGCCAUUAACCUAGAGAGGGAGUCCAUGUAAUUUCCCUCAACCCUCUGAAAGUCUUGAUUAAAAUAAUAUCAGGAGAGCUAUGAGUGUCUUCUUUCCCAAAGGUUUCUCGAGAAGGAUUAAGCAAGUAGUAAACAUCCAGUUUGUCAUAUUCACGUAAAUAAAUCGAAUCUUGGAAAGGAAUUUUAGUGAGUGGAUUUUUAUAGAGAUUGUGUAUGAAAACGGUCAUGAUGACGCUACUAGUGAUGAAAUCAACAGCAGGAAUAUUAUAUGAAGAAGCAACACCCAGGCCCCACCACGGUUGGAUGAGAUCAUAGAUAAGCAAAUCCGGUUUUAGAGUUUUGAGGAUGUGACAGAAGAUUGGUUCGGACAAAUCGAGGGCUUCUUGAAGUAUUUGGCAUGAGAUUGGGAGGAGGUUUUUGGUGGUGUGGGAUUGUGGGGGAGGUCAGCAAGACCGUAAAUCGUGGAGCUCGACGAUUUUAUAGAGUGUGUGUAUAUUUUUUGAGUGAGUCUAGGCUUGAGCAUUGAGGUUGAUAGGGUAGAACAUAGGUAGAUCUUGAAGUUUCUGGUUGAGAGCUUUUGGCUUUAGCUCCAAGAAGGGGAGAUAUGUCAUGAGAUAGCCAUGGGAAAAUGAGAACACUGAUGGUACUUGCUUUGCAAUCCUUCUCUCUCUCUUCUCUUUUCGGGCUAUCUUAAAGUCUUCUGCACUUUGUGACAUGACAACCCUGUAUAUGUCGAUGGGGUGAGCAUGAGAUGCGUAUGGAGGAAUUCUUCUGAGAAUUUUCAUUGUCAACAAUAUAUUAAAGUUUAAGGGGAAAAAAUUUAUAAAUCGUGGAAAGAAUCAAAAAUAAUGUACUAAAUACUAAUGAAUAUUGUCUUAAUUUGUUAAGUCUAAUUAAUUUCUUUUUUUGCACUUUUUAUUUUUACUGCACAACUUUUUUAGUUAAUUUUUAAAACAGAAAUGAUAAAAUCACGUAGUCACGAUUAUCAUAACAAUUUGAUUGCAUUGGUAGAUGAUCUACACACUAAAAACUAAAAAAUAGACUUUUUGAGUUAGGAAACAUUAAAGGAUGGUUCUCCGCUCUUUUGCUUCUCGUAAUUUUUUAAACACCCCAUUCCCCUUUCCCUUCUUCCCCUGCUUUUUUUCCUUGAGCACCUAGUUUAUUUCUGGCUUUACCUGCUGGGUACGUGGUAAGCCGCAAUAAAUUAAAUAAUACCGUUCCUUGCAAUAAUAUAUUGAAAUUGAAUAUAAAUCCGAUAGAGUUUAAUUAUGUUCAUCUACCUCACAGGUAAAUAUUGCCCUCUUGUUAUUGAUUGAGAUGUGCGUGAUCCGCAUGGCAAACCUAACAAUGUCUAGAAUUUCUUUUGAAAAUUAAGUUGGAAAAGGAAUGAAAAUAGAUAAAAUGAGAGAAAAUUUAGGAGAGAUGAGGAAAGAGAGUGGGCAGAGUAGAGGUGUCAAGCGGGCCUUGCCGGCACGGCACGGCACGAGCACGGCACGAAAAAAACCCGGCACGAGCACGCUUGGGCAGGGUAAAAGUUGGGCACGGAACGACCACGGCACGGCACGGUCUGAGACGGGCACGGGCACCGGGCACGAGGCACGAAAAUGGGAGAGCACGGCCACGGGGCACAGCACGAUAGUUGCUCACAAAGCACGAAUGGCCGGCACGGUCAAAGUACGGCACGGCACGGGGCAUGGACACGACAGUUGAUUUGGUUUGGCAUGGCAUGGCCGGCACGGCACAACACAGACCUUAGCCAAGAACGGCACAGCAUGGGCACGAAUGUGUCACGGGCAAAAACCUGGGUAGACACGGAUAAUUGGCCUGACACGACACGGAAGUGACAAGGAAAUGAUAAUUAUUAAAUAAAUUAAAAUAAAAUUUAAUUAAAGAAAUUGACUUGCCAGGUAAUUUUAUUUGUAAAAAUUUGAACAAAAAGAAUAAAGAAAAGUAAAAUAAAUAAAUUUUUGACUUAUUCAUGGGUCAUUGGGGGGGCUGUAAAUAAAUAAAUAAUAAAAUAAAAAUAUAUUUUUAUUAAAUAAAUGACUUUUCAAAGGCCAUAAUAAGAAAAAAAUUGAGGAAAAAGUUAAAAUAAAGUAAGGAAUAACAAAAAUGAAAAAAUAAAAAAUAAAUAAAAAAUUAAAAAUUUGAAAACAAACUAUAAAUUUUAAAAUUUGGACUUAUGGCCCAUAUUAGGCCAUAAUAAGACAAAAAUAAAAUUUUAAAAAAUAAAACUUUGUAUUUAACAAAUGAGAAAAAAAAUAAAAAAUAAAAUUUUCAAUAAUAAAUAAUAAAAAUAAAAAUUUUGAAUUGAUAGACAAAAUUGAAUUUUUAUAAUUAUUAAUCUGUAUAAAAAAUUUGAUUUAUCUAUGCGCUAAACCACAACAAUCGCAACAUAAUUAUGACAAUUACACCAUCACUUUGGUUGUAGGUCACUCUCGUCGAAUUGAACAUCUAUCGAAUAUUGAAAGCCCUUCAUCACUUGUUGAAUAUAACGAGUGGUGGCAUAACCCCUCGAACUGCACUUUUUUCACAUUUUAGUUUUUUUACCUGUUGAAUAUAACGAGGUGGUGGCAGAACCCCUCGGAACUACACUUUUUCACAUUUUUAUAGUUGGUUGUGAUCUUAAUAAUUUAAGAUUUGACUAGCUUCUAAUACAAAAUAGGCAUUAUAUUCUCAAUGGAAGUUAAUAACGAUUUUGUCGUCAUUGACACUCCUUAUAAAUGUAUUUAGUUGGCGACAUUUUAAGCGACCGACACGACAAGAUUAAAAAAACGGGACAUGGCACGACCGAUUAAGUAGACCGGCACGGCAUGCACGAGUCAACCCGACUAAGUUAGUGGGCCGGCACGACACAGCAUAAUUAAGUAAGCGGCCGGCACGACACAGAUGAUAAGUAAAUGGGCCAGCACGGCAGACACGGUUAUAAAUGGCACGGGCACGGCACGAACACGAAUAAAAAAAAUAAACCACACGGCACGAUUAAAAAUGGCACGGCCAACGAUUAAGGCACGGCCACGGCAAGGCACGUUAAGUAAAUGGAGCCCAACACGGCACGGCACGAAGCACGGAAGAAAAGUGGCACGGCCCGGCACGGCGGGCACUCGACCACCUCUAUGGCUAGGCAUAGGUUGGCGUGUAAAUCGUUUUUAACUGUUGGCCCAAUAUCCUUGAGAAUAACCUUUCAGGUUUAACUCGUUGGUGUUUUAUUAAUUUUGAGAACAACGAUGGAUUAAUUUUGAUAACAUGUAGAGUGACCAAGAAAAAUGAACGUAUGGUCCCAAACAAAAGCUUUUGAGAGGAUAGUUUCGAGUUGACUCUAUACCCACGACCUCUCCAAUCAAAAACCUAAGCCCAAGUGGUAAUGGGCGGCCUUACCAGGACUUAGGUCCUGGGCUCGAUUCUCACUCCCACCCCUGGACAUAAGGCGCAAUCACUUUGGGCGAACAUUCGGUACACGAGCUAACACUUGGAGGUAUCAUGUUCGAUUCCUAGUGGCUGCGCCGUAUAUCCACGUUUACAUUCUUAGGUGUGAAGGGCUAACUGCUCAGGAUACAAAAAUUAGUCUGGGUGGGCCCAAAGGCCUCUCUUGGAUACUCUGUGGCUAAUAAAAAAAAAACUAUUGAUAAUUAUAUGUCAAUAGCAAUUUAUACGUAAUAAUAAAACUAGCUAUGGCUCUUCAUUUCCGAUCAAGGAUGAAUGCGUUAAAAUUAAAAUCAAUUGGUAAUAAGUGGAGUAGUCUCUAAAGAAAAAUCCGAAAGAAUUCUUCUUCUUGAUAAAUCUAUUUUAUUAUUAAAAUGGUGCAACACCCCAUUUGGUGCAGACACAAUUUUAACAUAUUCAUACUUUUUUAUGCAAAAAAUAUUACUCACAAAAUUCAAUUUUUCAAAAUAAUACAUACCUCUACUCCAAUAGUCUUUUAACACGUAAAAGUAAAAAUUCUUCAAUGUUUUCAGAGUAUGUGUUGUAGAUAUUGCACAAUCAUCACACCGCGCAAAAAUACAAAAGACGAAAACAAAAACCUCUAGCACUUGUCAAUGAAUUGGCUUAUUGGUAUCGAGCCAAGGACAAUCAAGAUGAAACGCUUGUUAGGGGAGAGGAUAAAGGUAAUUGUCAUUGUCACAUUAUCCUUUGUUAUGUUUUUUGUAUGAAUUUUACGAAAGAAUAUCAUUUCCAAUCAAACUAAUGACAAGGACCUGUUGGACUAGGCCAGUGGUUGGCACUUGCAAACCCAAGUUACCAUGAAUCGUUUAAACCCUGCCAUACCCUCCUCCCCCAGUUAAGGUAACUAGCAUAAUAUAUGCGUUAUGCAGAGAUUAUUUUACCGGCAUUGAAAAUGUA